rnacentral:lncRNA from 1 species
GCAUAUUGAACUCACUUUUAUCACAUGCCAUAACCGAAUCACCUUUUUACCAAAAUACAUGGCAAAACUAAAUAAAAUGUGUUUCAUUAUAUAUAUGCAUAACAUUGUCGAAUCAUCAAAUCAAUAAUUUCAUUACCUAAAUUCAACAUUUAACUGAAUACACUCAUCAACCAACUUAAAUCAUUACUAUCAGAUACAAGACAUAGCCGAAUCUUUAAACAAUUGGUAACAUAUCAAGCAUAAUUCAUACUUAUAUAUACAUCAUAGUUG